UGUGUGCUCGCGCCUGUGCGUGUGUGUAU
rnacentral:piRNA from 1 species